GAAGGGCAGGCUGCAGUUUACUUGUUACCUCCAGUUCUGCGCUUUCACUUAGAACGGACUGUCUGUAUCUUCUAUUUACACAGAUUUCAGCACCCUGUCUGCUGGACAGCUCCCUGUGAGAUCCAUUGAGAAUAAAUGGCUGUGGCUGGAAGCACACAGAGGGGAUGGCUUAACACAGAGACGCACACUUUGAAGUAACGAGGAAAGCACGGGGAUGUAAAGAAGCUGGAUAAUAUAGCAUUGGAUUUCUCUGAUUGUUCGUCUCUGUAGUGUGCUGUUUAUUCUACUUAUAUCCUGCGUGGAGGACACACUUGGAUCUUUCUGUACUGGCUACCAUUCUUUUCUCUUGCUUUGACAGGCUGGGUAUUUAAAGUUUGCUUUUCUUAAAUUCCAGGAAUCAAAAACAAACAGGCGAGCUGUUUAUGGACAGUGCUGGUGCCAGAUGUACCAGUGAAGUUCCUUUUCUUAAUGUUGAAUGUUCUGUUUCAAGUUUGCUGUCAUUAGUUUCCCUGGCACUUGGAGAUCACUGAUUUGGAGUAUUACUGACACGGAUGAAAAGGAGGAGGAGGGGUAUAACUAUCUAUAAAGAAGCUGCUGUUUUCCUUCUGGAUCCGAUUGUGGAGGGCUUUACUUUGUAAUAUUCCGGUGUGUUGGGAAGCAUGUGUGUACCCCCUGUAUAGAGGAUGGGAUUACUGUAAGAAGGGUGAAGCAGAAUAAUAAGUUUGGAGGAAAACCUAAAACCCAGUGAUCAGAUUUGUAAAGGACAGCUUGCUUCUUACACUUUGAUCCUAAAUGGAUUAUUAGCAGGGUGCUUGAAAAAUUGCUAUUUGGUACAAGCUGUCCUUGUUUGUUGGAUGUGAGGAUACAGACUUUGGUUUAGGCUUGACGCUCGCAUUGCUUGAGCUAUCCACAUCAUCAACAGAACUGCGAGGGUGAUGAAUCAUUUAUAGAAUUUCAAUCCUGGAGCACCUAGAAAUCUGAAUCAGGUGAAAGGCAGAUGAAACUUGAAUCCAAUCACCUUAGAAAACUCCCCAGCGUUAAUCAGAGCGUGCUUCGGAAGUGAUUCUAAAUAUUAAAAAAUGCUAAUAAAGUAGGAUGUUGUUUACAGUAUGAACACAUGUAAAGAUCCUGAUUGAUGACUUGGACCAUGGCCUUACUAU